GACCUCUGCAGGUGAAGAAAUUCAGCUCAGGAGUGACUGGUCCAUGGACCCGGCACCUGCUCUGUGCCCUGGCAUGUAGAGCUCCAGCUCUGGGACUGAACUACCUGCAUGACUGUCAGAACAGCCUCCUCAUCCUUCAGCUGACCUCAGCUAAGUCAUUUCCUGGCCCUUUCAUUCUUCUUUAAAGAAUGAUGGUGGGGAUUGGGGGGAAGAAAACCAAGCCCAUGACACACUCCAUCAUCACCCUCCUCGCCUUGACCAUUAAACAUUUCCUAGAGUUGCUUGCGUGGUAACUAAGUUGUUCACAGCUUGUCUACUAUCCUUCAUGGGAUUUGUAACGAGGUCAACCCUGGCCAUUGCAAAGACCCAGAGGAGGGCUGUUUAUGUCAUUUUGGAGAAGAAGGGAGGUUUCCCAGGCGUGCUUUUUGGUCUGAAUGCUGACUGUGCAAUCUCUCAGGUCCUCCUAAGCAUUCUGCUUAAACAAAUAUUAUUUAUGUUCACCAGGAGAACCAUUUCCCACUGUCUGCUUUCUCUUUACUCACAUAAAACUGCACAUUUAAUUUCUGUUUACACAUAUAUAAACCAUAUCUUUAGGAGCAGCCUGGGAAAUCCUCGGUUAAAGAUGGGUUUUGCCUUUGGAAAGCACAGAGGAUGAGGUGUGGGGAUAACAGCAUGCUGUUGAUGAGGAAAUCUACCACUUGGUAAGUGAGAGAUCCUUAAUUUUAGCUUUUACUUGACUUGUAUAUUUGCUCAUGAAUGAAUAUUUCUCCAUGUCAUUUAGUAAACCAAAGGAAAUGGCAGUUACGUGUACAUUUGGUGUUUUGAGUGGAGACUAGGCUGUACAUUGGGAUAUAAGAUAACAUCUGUCCUGGGAAGUAUUUCUGGAAGUUUGUCAGUAUUUUGGUGAGUCUUUGAGUCGGCUGCAUGGACUGAUCUGUUUUAUUCCAAGAUUCAGAGCUUGGUUCACCAAUGCCUCUCUCAUUAAGCUAUUGUGUAGGAGUGAACUUUGGAGGAAUGACUCUUGUUGUUCUCAAUCAAAAAUGGAAACACAGGGGAGAGUCUUUCAAAGCUGACAAUGGGAAGUAACGUGAAAUAGCAAACAUUCUACUAGUCUUGCCCUUCAUCUCCUGGUCUCUCCAAGGUAGCUUGGAUGAUGAUAAUACUGAUCAACAUUCAACGAAUGGUUCAAUGAUAUGACAGGCACCCUUAUAUUUCUUCAACAUGAAUUAGCAGUUUUCUCACAACAACCCUAUCCCUUGAGGUAUCCUCUUUUUAAAGGUGAGGAAGCUGAGGCAUGAAUGAGCUUUGGUGAUUGUUGCCCAUUCUGGUCUUGAUGGGCCUGCAGAUUUUCUGGGCUCAUCUUGUCAAAGUCCUGAAAACUUCUGAGGCCAAACAGGGGACUCUAGUAUGAGGACUUACAACCCGAGAACUGGCCUGUGGUUAAGAUUCCAAACUUUUACACUGUGGUUGGUAGCAUGUUGGUAGGAAUCUCUCUUUUUUCUCCCUGCUGAGCUCUGAUUUUGGCUGGAAAAUUUUCCAUACAUUUUAUUUGAGCCCUUCCCACCAUUUGAGCCUUCUGGGGUUUUUGCGCUGGCAUCUCUGACUCAUUCUCCCCACCCUCCACUGGGGUCUCUGUAGGACAUUGUUUGGUUGUGGUAUGUGAGUAUUUAUAGUUCAAGCACUGGCAUUUUCUUUAAAGCAAAGCCUAAAACUCUUGAGAAAAUAAUUGGAGUUUCAAGAAGGCCUUCUGGUAUCUUUCUGGUGUAUUUUCACACUGCUCAACAAAGUUGAUGUGCUGGGUGAGUUGCUGGAAAACAGGCUGGGGUUUGGCUUUGAGACUGGGGUCCUCAGAGCAUCUUUCACAAAGGUCCCUGUAUGGGUGUCUUCUGGGCCUAGAGACACGCUGCUCUUCCACCAGAGCCUGUUUAUUAAGAACUCUACAGAUAUGCUUUUGUUUUUUCUGCACUUCCCACUGUAGCUUUAUUUCUUUUAAAAUGCUUUAACACUAGGAAGUUAGGAGCCCUAGAAUGCCAUAAAAAUUGAUUUUAGGGGAUGAGAAAGCGACCACUCCAGUAAAAUGCCCCAUUUUAUCAUCUACCAACCCUCAAGCAGUAGGGAAGAAUGGUGGGUGCACCAAGGUGGCCGCGCAUAGUCAACUUGCACACAGAGGAGCUGCAGACAGCAUAGUGGGUAAGAGCAAGGCUCUGGCUAAAAAACCAAACUACUUGAGUUUGAAUCCCCAUCCCAUCAGCUGGAUGAACUUGGGCUUCUCUGGACCCCUAUCUUGUUAUUGUUGUCGAGUCAAUUCCGACUCCUAGUGACCCUGUGUAGCAGAACCCUGCCUGGUCUUUUUGCACCAUCCUCUGAGCUUCUGGCGCUGUAUCAGACAAUGCUCUACUGCCAUUCAUAGGGUUUUCUUGACCAAUUUUUUUCAGAAGUGGGUGGCCAGGUCUUUCUUCCUAGUCUCUCUUAGUCUGGAAGCUCUGCUGACACCUGUCCACCAUGGGUGAUCCUGCUGGUAUUUGAAAUACCAGUGGCAUAGCUUUCAGCAUCACAACAACACGCAGCUGCCACAGUGUGACAACUGACAGACAGGUGGUGUGGUUCCCUGACUGGGAAAGGAACCCAGGCCAUGGUGGUAAGAGUGGAGAAUCUUAACCAGCAGACCAGCAGGACUGGCUGGGCCUCUGUCUACCCAUAUGUAAAUAAUCAUAGGGUUCAUGUGAGGAUUAAGUGUAGUAAUGAUCUAUAAAUGUUAGCCCCUACUCAUGGUGUCCAUCCAGAAUUUCAGCACACAGCUACUUCCCACAGUGCACGCCGCUGUUGGCAGGAAGCCUGACCUGCAGUGAGGCUACUUUUCAACCCAAGUCCACAUCUAUCCCUAGAGAUGCUUGUGCUUGCUUUUCUUCCAGAAGGUACUGUGGCUCCCAUCUUCCCUCUACACAGGGCCGUAAAUGAGAUGAUUGUCAAGGGCAGCACUAAGCCGAUUAUGUUUGCAUCUACAAACGCAGCUCCUCUGGGUUCAUUUACAGAGCUGGCCCUUCCAGGCAUGGGCCCUAGCUUCCCUUGCCAAGCUGAAAACUGCAAUUCCUCUACUUCAGCCAAAUGCACAUAAGUGGCUGGGAACCACCCCCUUAUCCCCUGCACAAAACCAGAUAGAAAGGCUGAGCUUAAUAGAGACUCAGACGACAAGAUUUAAAUAAAUAAGCUGUAUUAUCUGUACA
rnacentral:lncRNA from 1 species